GGAUUGUGGCUCAGUGGUAGAGUGCACACCUAGCAUGCUUGAGGCACUGGGUUCAAUCCUCAGCACCA
rnacentral:tRNA from 1 species